AGCGAACGCUGGCGGCACGCCUAACACAUGCAAGUCGAACGAGAACAUAUCUUCGGAUAUUAGUAGAGUGGCGGACGGGUGAGUACAACGUGGAUAAUCUACCAUAAGGACUGGGAUAACUUCGGGAAACCGUAGCUAAUACCGGAUAAGACCACAGUAUCUAAGGAUACAGAGGUAAAAGAUUUAUCGCCUUUUGAUGAGUCCACGUCCCAUCAGGUAGUUGGUAAGGUAAAAGCUUACCAAGCCUAAGACGGGUAGCCGGCCUUAGCGGGUGACCGGCCACACGGGAACUGAGACACGGUCCCGACUCCUACGGGAGGCAGCAGUGGGGAAUAUUGGGCAAUGGGCGCAAGCCUGACCCAGCGAUGCCGCGUGAGGGAUGAAGGCCUUCGGGUCGUAAACCUCUGUCAGGAGGGACGAUGGGACUUCGGUCUUGACGGUACCUCCAGAGGAAGCCCCGGCUAACUCCGUGCCAGCCGCCGCGGUAAU
rnacentral:rRNA from 1 species